CGAAAUGAGCAUGUCCCAGUUUAAAGACUUGGAGACAGGGUGGUUUGAGAGGUGGGCUGGGACUGGGUGAGGAGUGUGAAAUACCGAAUGAUAAAUUCUCACUUGGUGGCUACGAAUUUAGGGAAAUUUAGGUGUUGAGGGAGCAUGGAAGACCCAAGCGAGUACAAAAUGCGUGCAGUAAUGGAGCAAUAGAAUGAUAAAAACCAAAGGUUGCCCCGUUGCCCCACUUUUGUUCAGCGUCUUUGUUUACAAAGCACUUUAAUACUCUUAGAACAAUCCUGAGAGGCAGCAGGAGAAGUCAUGGACAGGGGGCUGCUGUUCCUCAGUCUUCUUUGCUGGCUCCUCCUCUCCCAGACCUUUCAACGUUGGAGGGUUCCAGAUAUCAGAGAUUCUGGGCCUCUUCCCUCCUGUAUCUUCAUUCUCUCCCUAGAGAAAGAAACAGCCCUUUUCAUGGAAUCAAUUGUUUGCCAAAGUUCUCUGGCUGUCAGAGAAAAGCGUUGGUGCUCUUGGUGCCUCCAUUGUAUUAAGGGUGCCACCGUGGACCUAGGAUCUCAGACGGGUGGCCCUGUCUUGGCUCGCAAGAUCAGAAGAUGGGGAGUCUAUCUGGAGAACCCUGGAUAAGCUUUAAACAGGACCAGAGCCAAUCAGAGUUGGAGAGGCAUGGGCUGGCAGGGAGGAAAGAAACAAAAACAUCACUAAGAUACAUCCUGGAAAAAGGAAACAGCCUUAUGGAGAAAAGACAGCCUAAUGCAUGGGAGCUAAAUUUCCAUUUCUCUGGGCAGUUCAGGAAGUUCAGUGGAUCCUUAAUGAGCAUUCAUUUCCUGCCACCAAGUAAGUCACACUGGUUCUUUAUUUGGUUCUUUUCUUUGUAAUUGGAAUGAACUUGUAUUACAUUUCCAACUCCUUAUCUUUGGGAAUAAUUUUAACUUCUAGUUCAUGGGCUCCAUCAAAGAGAUUAACAUUGUGAAGCCUUCAGUGGGGCAAGAGACUUGGUUGGGCUCUAGUAGAGCUUAGGAAGAACUUACAGAAAUUAUGCUAUAGCAAAAAAUGUUUUUAAUGACAUAUUUUUUCCAAUUAUGAUAUUAAAGCAUGUUUCUUGUGGAAAAUCAGAGGAUAUAGACAAGUAAAUAAAGCCAAGAAUUCUCCCACUAUUAGGAUUCUACUUUAUUUCUUCCUCUUCCUCCCCCUCUUCUUUCUUCUCCUACUGUUCCUCUACUACUUCUUCUCCCUGCCCUACCCCCUUCCUCCUCUUCCUUGUUUUUUUAUUGACCAUGCUUCCGUGGAUAAUACUGGGCUCAUGUUGCAUACACAAAUUUGCAUUUUGUUUUUCACUUAAUAUUUGGUUACCAUUUUCACAUUAUUAAAUAUUCUUGAAAAUUUUGCUACCUAAUGUUUCAUGUUCUUCCAUCAUAUGGGAUGUAUUCAGUUUGAACUGCUGUGAUAAAGCCUAAGGAAUUCUAGAAAUAGGAUGAAUGGUGAUAAUAAAAGUAUUUCCUUCAUGAAGUUGAUGAAAGGAAAAUGAAAUAAGUUAAACAACUUAUAACAGUGUUUGGUACACAGCAAGCAUUCAGUCAAUGUUAGGUAUGAUUAUUGUAAAUAUAUUCUACUUGAUAAAUACUAACAAAUAGUCUUCCAGAAAACUCCUUUUUCACUCUUAACAUAAACAUGUCAUCUGAUAUUUAAAUAGUAAUUGAAAAUAUUGUGAACCACAACACUAGGCUUUUUGAAUGACGUCUGGAGUAAGAGAUGGGGUCUUGGCCAAAAGGAGUAAAGAAAUUAGCAGUAGACCUCCCAAAGACUGGGCUAAAGGGGUGAGUACUAUCAUUUCUUGCAGAAAGGAAUGGUGAGGGCAGUGUUACCCUGGAAUCUAAUGGGUCUUUUGGAAGAUGGACCAGGGCUCAUGCUGGGGUUGUGCAUGUGUCUACCUGCAUGUGUGUGCAUGUGUGAUUGUACCUGUGUGUCAUGUUGAAGGGAUAGAGGGAAAGGGUUGCAAGUCUCUUGUGAUGCCUAACAUCCUGUGCUGGGAGGGCCCAGCAGAUCAAGUUUGGUGCUGUGCAUCCAGGAUCAGUCACAGAUCAUUGUGAGCAGAUGGCAGGCCAGCUGCUUCCCGGAUACCUGGACUGUUCAAUUGUGGAGAACAUAAAAGGUGGAGAGCACCUCUUCUGUCAGAGGGGUUAAAAGGAGCAAAGCAAAGAGAAGCCUGGAGCUCCAAACUUAAGGACCAUCAUUGAGAUAGUAAAUUUCAGAGUGAAACUGGAAUUUAGGGAAGCAGCAAAAAGAGCAAUCUAAGAGAGCACAGGUGGACGCUGCACGUCCAGAGAACCACACUCUCAACUGCAUCUGUGUCACCUAGAGGGGAAGGAGGUGCUCUGACUUGGUCCUCUC